AAGAAACUAUGAAUUGCAGUUGUAACGAUAAGUCAAUAAUGCUAGCUUUUGAGUUUCGACAUUUCCAUCCACAAAAAAUGCAUUAUAUAUGUUGUUGAUAUGUUGUCUUCCACCACCACUCCACACUAAAAAGCCAAGGAGAAAGGAGAAGAUGCACAACCAUCCACCGCCAAAUCCACCGCACCACCACCAAGAAGGGCCGCAACACGGGCCGCCGCAGCCAGGGCCGCCCGGCGGGCCUCCCCACCAUGAGCCGCCACCACCACACCAACCCGGGCCUCCUCACCAUGGACCUCCACCUCCUCAGCCAGGCCCCCAAGCACCUCCGCCCCGGCCUCAUGAGCCUCACAAGCCAGGCCCGCCCGGCCCACCUCAUCACGGCCACCACCACUGAGCCAUAAUCUUCGGUCCUGCUUUCACAGUUGAUUCAUGUUGCAUAUAUUUGAUGCUUCCACCUGUCUACUACUAGGGAGCCAUAAUCAAAUCCAAUAAAGUGAAUGAACUGUGAAAUGGGUGUAUGAGGGGGAUUCCAUGGCCUUUUAUAAUUAUGUGAUGUUAUAAAUGGUUCUCUGAUAACCAUGUAAUGAAGCAGCAGUACUAUGUUUGAUACUAUUAGGAAAACCUAUCUCGUGCUCUACUUAUUUCUCGUAAUACUAAUGUGUAACUAACAACGCCGAAGUGAGGAUCUUAGAAGGGCGAUACGCACUGGUGUUCGAAAACUUACCCCAGAAAAGAGUAGACACUCCAUUCUUGACAAAUUUUCUGGCAUUAGCCUUUAGACGGACGAGAGUGAUUUGUGGUGUUGCAUGUUUCGGGCCAUGUUUGUUAGUUAAGGCAGCCUUGCGAAUUCCUAAACCACCAAGAAGUUUUGGUUUCGAAACAUUCUCCCAAUUAACCAAAUAGAAUUUCCAGGCCA